rnacentral:rRNA from 1 species
AGUAAAAGUCGUAACAAGGUUUCCGUAGGUGAACCUGCGGAAGGAUCAUUAUCGAGUUACUAUUGACUUUGAUGCUGGCCGCUUGCGGCAUGUGCUCGAGUCUUUAAAUCCACUCAACCACUGUGCACUAAUUCGAAAGCUUCGCGGUUCAGGCUCCUUCCUUCGGGGGGUCGAGUUCGGGCUUGCGGGGUUUUCGAGCUUCAUACAAACCACAUAUUGUCAUGUCGAAUGUAAUACUUUAUUAAAAAUACAACUUUCAACAACGGAUCUCUUGGCUCUCGCAUCGAUGAAGAACGCAGCGAAAUGCGAUGAGUAAUGUGAAUUGCAGAAUUCAGUGAAUCAUCGAAUCUUUGAACGCACCUUGCGCUCUUUGGUAUUCCGAAGAGCAUGCCUGUUUGAGUGUCAUGUAAUCAUCAAUCCGACUUCGCUUUUUGUGAAGCUCGGACUUGGACUUGGAGGUUCUUGCUGGCUUUCCGUCGGCUCCUCUUGAAUGCAUUAGCUGGACUCCGUCGCGGUUCGCGGUGUGAUAACUUAUUCACCCUUGAACUUCGAAGUAAGACCGGCUUCUAAAACCCCUUUACUUUUGACCAUCUGGCCUCAAAUCAGGUAGGACUACCCGCUGAACUUAAGCAUAUCAAUAAGCGGAGGA